rnacentral:rRNA from 1 species
CAGUCGCCGCGGUAAUACGGAGGGUGCAAGCGUUAAUCGGAAUUACUGGGCGUAAAGCGUGCGUAGGCGGUUCGUUAAGUCUGUUGUGAAAGCCCCGGGCUCAACCUGGGAAUGGCAAUGGAUACUGGCGAGCUAGAGUGUGUCAGAGGAUGGUGGAAUUCCCGGUGUAGCGGUGAAAUGCGUAGAGAUCGGGAGGAACAUCAGUGGCGAAGGCGGCCAUCUGGGACAACACUGACGCUGAGGCACGAAAGCGUGGGGAGCAAACAGGAUUAGAUACCCCAGUAGUCCCUGUCUCUUAUAA